AGUGAACGCUGGCGGUAGGCCUAACACAUGCAAGUCGAACGGCAGCACAGUAAGAGCUUGCUCUUACGGGUGGCGAGUGUCGGACGGGUGAGGAAUACAUCGGAAUCUACUUUUUCGUGGGGGAUAACGUAGGGAAACUUACGCUAAUACCGCAUACGACCUACGGGUGAAAGCAGGGGAUCUUCGGACCUUGCGCGAUUGAAUGAGCCGAUGUCGGAUUAGCUAGUUGGCGGGGUAAAGGCCCACCAAGGCGACGAUCCGUAGCUGGUCUGAGAGGAUGAUCAGACACACUGGAACUGAGACACGGUCCAGACUCCUACGGGAGGCAGCAGUGGGGAAUAUUGGACAAUGGGCGAAAGCCUGAUCCAGCCAUACCGCGUGGGUGAAGAAGGCCUUCGGGUUGUAAAGCCCUUUUGUUGGGAAAGAAAAGCAGCAGGUUAAUACCCCGCUGUUCUGACGGUACCCAAAGAAUAAGCACCGGCUAACUUCGUG
rnacentral:rRNA from 1 species